rnacentral:rRNA from 1 species
CAGUCGCCACGGUAAUACGAAGGGGGCUAGCGUUGCUCGGAAUGACUGGGCGUAAAGGGCGCGUAGGCGGCGAUCAAAGUCAGGCGUGGAAUUCCUGGGCUCAACCUGGGGGCUGCGCUUGAUACUUGGUUGCUUGAGUGGGGAAGAGGGUCGUGGAAUUCCCAGUGUAGAGGUGAAAUUCGUAGAUAUUCGCAGGAACACCAGUGGCGAAGGCGUUCGACGAGAACGGGCCUGACGGUGAGGGGCGAAGGCUAGGGGAGCAAACGGGAUUAGAUACCCCAGUAGUCCCUGUCUCUUAUAC